AACCCAUGCUGAUGGCAUUUUCACAGGAGAUCGUUGAACCUGUCCCAUUUCACAAAAAAAGACUCCAAUUCCAUUUGCACAAUAGAAGAUAUCUUAUUCCUAAGUUU